GUGGGAAGAGUGGAAAGCAGAAGGUGUGGAAAAAUGAUACUCAACUGGAAAUGCUGUGUUUGGUAGGAGUUAGAAAUCCUGAUGUGGGCUAUCCCAGCUUCAGGAAUUAGUUCUCUUACUUCUUUAAUUCAUUUGGAGUCAAAUCUCCCUCCACCCACAACUUCCUCUGGAGCAGAUUCAGGCUGGCAAAGGAUUAAAGGUGAAAUAUUCUAACUGCCACUAUCACUGGGAAAGAAAAUAACUCUCCCAAUUUAAUUUUCCUGAUGUAACAAAACCAUGAUUCUUCACUAUGAAAUGUUGAUGCCAUCCAUCAGUCACAAUCAAUAAAAUCAUCAUCGAAAUACGCCUUCUUCAGGAUCUUUGCUUCAGCCCAGUAUUAUUUG